rnacentral:rRNA from 1 species
UUUGCCUCAGCGUCGGAG